AGAGUUUGAUCCUGGCUCAGGACGAACGCUGGCGGCGUGCUUAACACAUGCAAGUCGAACGGAAAGGCCCUUCGGGGUACUCGAGUGGCGAACGGGUGAGUGACACGUGGGUGAUCUGCCCUGCACUUUGGGAUAAGCCUGGGAAACUGGGUCUAAUACCGAAUAUGACCAUGCGCCUCCUGGUGUGUGGUGGAAAGCUUUUGCGGUGUGGGAUGGGCCCGCGGCCUAUCAGCUUGUUGGUGGGGUAAUGGCCUACCAAGGCGACGACGGGUAGCCGGCCUGAGAGGGUGACCGGCCACACUGGGACUGAGAUACGGCCCAGACUCCUACGGGAGGCAGCAGUGGGGAAUAUUGCACAAUGGGCGCAAGCCUGAUGCAGCGACGCCGCGUGAGGGAUGACGGCCUUCGGGUUGUAAACCUCUUUCAGCACAGACGAAGCGCAAGUGACGGUAUGUGCAGAAGAAGGACCGGCCAACUACGUGCCAGCAGCCGCGGUAAUACGUAGGGUCCGAGCGUUGUCCGGAAUUACUGGGCGUAAAGAGCACGUAGGUGGUUUGUCGCGUUGUUCGUGAAAACUCACAGCUUAACUGUGGGCGUGCGGGCGAUACGGGCAGACUUGAGUACUGCAGGGGAGACUGGAAUUCCUGGUGUAGCGGUGGAAUGCGCAGAUAUCAGGAGGAACACCGGUGGCGAAGGCGGGUCUCUGGGCAGUAACUGACGCUGAGGAGCGAAAGCGUGGGGAGCGAACAGGAUUAGAUACCCUGGUAGUCC
rnacentral:rRNA from 1 species